AUUGAACGCUGGCGGCACGCCUUACACAUGCAAGUCGAACGGUAACAGAUCUUCGGAUGCUGACGAGUGGCGAACGGGUGAGUAAUACAUCGGAACGUGCCUAGUAGUGGGGGAUAACUACUCGAAAGAGUGGCUAAUACCGCAUGAGAUCUACGGAUGAAAGCAGGGGAUUGCAAGACCUUGUGCUACUAGAGCGGCCGAUGGCAGAUGAGGUAGUUGGUGGGAUAAAAGCUUACCAAGCCGACGAUCUGUAGCUGGCCUGAGAGGACGAUCAGCCACACUGGGACUGAGACACGGCCCAGACUCCUACGGGAGGCAGCAGUGGGGAAUUUUGGACAAUGGGCGCAAGCCUGAUCCAGCAAUGCCGCGUGCAGGAUGAAGGCCUUCGGGUUGUAAACUGCUUUUGUACGGAACGAAAAGCCCUGGGUUAAUACCCUGGGGUCAUGACGGUACCGUAAGAAUAAGCACCGGCUAACUACGUGCCAGCCGCCGCGGUAAGAC
rnacentral:rRNA from 1 species